rnacentral:lncRNA from 1 species
AUGAAGAUGGAAUCCCAUGGACAGUGUGUUCUGUUGGCCCUCCUGCUUGUGUCUAACGUUCUAAUCCGUGUACACGCUCAGGAGGGGGAGGAGGUGACUGAGACAUGGACAGGACGAGCCUGUAAGUGUGACUGUGAGGGGGCAGAAUCCCCAACCCAGUUCACCUCCCUCUCCCCCAGCCCACCACGUGUCAUGGAGUGCAUGCCAGGUAAAGACCAAGCCUUCUGUCUCUCUGUCUCUGUCUGUCUCUGUCUCUCUCUGUCUCUCUGUCUGUCUCUGUCUCUGUCUGUCUCUGUCUGUCUCUGUCUCUCUGUCUGUCUCUGUCUCUGUCUCUGUCUGUCUCUGUCUGUCUCUGUCUAUGUCUCUGUCUAUGUCUCUGUCUCUCUCUCUGUGUCUCUGUCUCUCUCUCUCUGUCUCUGUCUCUGUCUCUCUCUCUCUCUCUCUCUCUCUCUCUCUGUCUCUGUCUCUGUCUGUCUUUGUCUGUCUCUGUCUAUGUGUGUCUCUAUCUCUCUCUCUCUGUCUAUGUGUGUCUCUGUCUCUGUCUAUGUUUGUCUCUGUCUCUGUCUCUCUCUGUCUCUGUCUAUGUGGGUCUCUGUCUAUGUGUGUCUCUAUCUCUCUCUGUCUAUGUGUGUCUCUAUCUCUCUCUCUCGCUGUCUAUGUGUGUCUCUCUCUCUGUCUCUGUCUCUGUUUCUCUCUGUCUCUGUCUAUGUGUGUCUCUAUCUCUCUCUCUCUCUGUCUAUGUGUGUCUCUAUCUCUCUCUGUCUCUGUCUAUGUGUGUCUCUAUCUCUCUCUGUCUAUGUGUGUCUCUCUCUCUGUCUCUGUCUCUGUUUCUCUCUGUCUCUGUCUAUGUGUGUCUCUGUCUGUGUGUCUCUGUCUAUGUGUGUCUCUGUCUCUGUCUGUCUCUGUCUAUGUGUGUCUCUGUCUCUGUCUGUCUCUGUCUAUGUGUGUCUCUGUCUCUGUCUGUCUCUGUCUAUGUGUGUCUCUGUCUCUGUCUGUCUCUGUCUAUGUGUGUCUCUGUCUCUCUAUCUCUCAUUCUCUCUCUAUCUCUCAUUCUGUCUCUCUCUGUCUCUGGCUAUCUCUCUCUCUGUCUAUCUCUCUGUUUCUCUCUCUCUUUCUAUCUCUCUGUUUCUCUCUCUCUUUCUCUCUAUGUCUCUCUCAAUUCAAGUCAAUUCAAUACAAGGAGCUUUAUUGGCAUUGGAAACAUAUGUUAACAUUGCCGAAGCAAGUGAAGUAGAUAUUAUACAAAAGUGAAAUAAACAAUAAAAAUGAACAGUAAACAUUACACUCACAGAAGUUCCAAAAGAAUAAAGACCUUUCAAAUGUCAUAGUAUGUUUAUAUACAGUGUUAUAAUGAUGUACAAAUAGUUAAAGUACAAAAGGGAAAAUAAUAAUUAUAAAUCAACAUAAAUAUGGGUUGUAUUUACAUUGGUGUUUGUUCUUCACUGGUUGCCCUUUUCUUGUGGCAACAGGUCACAAAUCUUGCUGCUGUGAUUCCACACUGUGGUAUUUCACCCAGUAGAUGUGGGAGUUUAUCAAAAUCGGG